GGGGAUGUAGCUCAGUGGUAGAGCGCAUGCUUAGCAUGCAUGAGGUCCUGGGUUCAACCCCCAGCAUCUCCA
rnacentral:tRNA from 1 species